rnacentral:rRNA from 1 species
UACGGAGGAUCCGAGCGUUAUCCGGAUUUAUUGGGUUUAAAGGGUGCGCAGGCGGCGAGUUAAGUCAGCGGUAAAAUUUCGGGGCUCAACCCCGUCGUGCCGUUGAAACUGAUGUUCUUGAGUGGGCGAGAAGUAUGCGGAAUGCGUGGUGUAGCGGUGAAAUGCAUAGAUAUCACGCAGAACCCCGAUUGCGAAGGCAGCUUACCAGUCUGCGACUGACGCUCAGGCACGAAAGUGUGGGUAUCGAACAGG